rnacentral:lncRNA from 1 species
CUAUGUAGGAAUUACAUUAAGUAUUUUAUGUAAUUAGAAUUACAUUAAGAAAUUGGGGUUUACAUUAAUUAGAGGGUGCAAUUGAUGUAGAUCAAAGCCUGAGACAAGGGAAAUAGAUCCAUUCAUGUUUGCACAUCUCUAUCUAUCUCAGGACUCUGGCAUCUGUGAAGAUUUCUAAAGUGAAAUACGUUAUCUGGUCAGCAGACAUGUCACAUGUAGCACUACUAGCCAAACACGCCAUUGUGAUCUGUAACCGCAAACUGGAUGCUUUAUGUAACAUUCAUGAGAACAUUCGUGUCAAGAGUGGGGCCUGGGAUGAGAGUGGGGUAUUUAUCUAUACCACAAGCAACCACAUCAAAUAUGCUGUCACCACUGGGUAAGUUAAUUAUCUGGGAUACAGAAUGGGAGAAGACAGCUUCCUGAAAUCACUGUCUUGUCUUGAGAUGUAACUGAAGUCCUCCAUGAAUUUUCUUCAUGGAAAAGCCUUACCUGGCAUAUAUGUGCAAGGGGCAUCAGAACAUUCUUUUUUCAACUUUUUUAAAAUUGAGAAAUCUAAAACAAAUAUAGACAAUUACAUU